UUCUCUUGAGAGCGGCGGACGGGUGAGUAAUGCCUAGGAAUCUGCCUGGUAGUGGGGGAUAACGUCCGGAAACGGACGCUAAUACCGCAUACGUCCUACGGGAGAAAGCAGGGGACCUUCGGGCCUUGCGCUAUCAGAUGAGCCUAGGUCGGAUUAGCUAGUUGGUGGGGUAAUGGCUCACCAAGGCGACGAUCCGUAACUGGUCUGAGAGGAUGAUCAGUCACACUGGAACUGAGACACGGUCCAGACUCCUACGGGAGGCAGCAGUGGGGAAUAUUGGACAAUGGGCGAAAGCCUGAUCCAGCCAUGCCGCGUGUGUGAAGAAGGUCUUCGGAUUGUAAAGCACUUUAAGUUGGGAGGAAGGGCAGUAAAUUAAUACUUUGCUGUUUUGACGUUACCGACAGAAUAAGCACCGGCUAACUCUGUGCCAGCAGCCGCGGUAAUACAGAAGGGUGCAAGCGUUAAUCGGAAUUACUGGGCGUAAAGCGCGCGUAGGUGGUUCGUUAAGUUGGAUGUGAAAUUCCCCCGGGGCUC
rnacentral:rRNA from 1 species